CCUGGGUUGGGAAGAUCCCCUGGAGAAGGGCAUGAAUACCCACUCCAGUAUUCUGGCCUGGAGAAUCCCGUGGGCUAUAGGCAUCGCAAAGAGUCAGACACAACGGAGCGACUUUCACCUCCCGUAAUGUAACUACACUCACUUAAGUAAUAUAGUUCGCUGAGUUGUGUCUGACUCUUUGCGAGCCCAUAGACUGUAGCCUGCCAAGCUCUUCUGUCCUUGGGAUUCUUCAGGCGAGAGUACUGCAGUGGGUUGCCAUUCUCUUCGCUAGGAGAUCCUGUUGACCCAGGGGUGAAACCUGUGUGUCUUGUGUCCCCUGCAUUGGAAGCAAAAUAUCCCUCCACGGAAUGUUCCCCAGAAACACAGAAGCAAAGUCCCCAGGGACCUUAAUCCUCUGGAGGAGUGAGAAAUACCAGUUACAGGAUCAGCGCUGCCGUGAGACAAACCGUCGUGAGGAACUCACGCCCGAGGGGCUUUAGAAUCUGAAACGGGUGAGUCAAGUGCGAGCUACGGAUUCUGCAUCCUCCGUCAGUUUCGCCUUUUGUUUUCGCUUGCGGACAGCCAUCUCCAGGGUCUCGUCGGUUUUGUGUGCAGCCAGCCG
ensembl:lncRNA